rnacentral:lncRNA from 1 species
GCGGUGCUGUGUGUGUUUUGGUUGUGCAUUUGUGGAGGAGAUGGCGCUGACUUGCUGGUGGUGCAACCAUGUUAGGUGGGAGUCGCCGCGUUAAACAUUUUUAACGGUUUCAAUUGAAAUUCACGAAAAGAAUAACAUUGAAACAUUUUUAAAAAUAUGAAAACUUAAUUGGGUAUUUUUUUUAAAUAUAUGGACCUAAUUGAACACUUUAAU